GACGAACGCUGGCGGCGUGCUUAACACAUGCAAGUCGAACGGAAAGGCCUUUUCGGAGGUACCCGAGUGGCGAACGGGUGAGUAACACGUGGGUGAUCUGCCCUGCACUCUGGGAUAAGCCUGGGAAACUGGGUCUAAUACCGGAUAGGACCGCACUUUAGUGUGUGUGGUGGAAAGUUUUUUCGGUGUAGGAUGAGCCCGCGGCCUAUCAGCUUGUUGGUGGGGUAAUGGCCUACCAAGGCGGCGACGGGUAGCCGGACUGAGAGGUUGGUCGGCCACAUUGGGACUGAGAUACGGCCCAGACUCCUACGGGAGGCAGCAGUGGGGAAUAUUGCACAAUGGGCGCAAGCCUGAUGCAGCGACGCCGCGUGGGGGAUGACGGCCUUCGGGUUGUAAACUCCUUUCGCCAGGGACGAAGCGUUUUGUGACGGUACCUGGAGAAGAAGCACCGGCUAACUACGUG
rnacentral:rRNA from 1 species